rnacentral:rRNA from 1 species
AGCUCCAAUAGCGUAUAUUAAAGUUGUUGCGGUUAAAAAGCUCGUAGUUGGAUUUCUGUUGAGAGCAGCCGGUCUGCACUUGGUGCAUGUAUCUGGUUUGAUCUCGGCAUCCUCUCAAAAUACGUUUCUGCGCUUGAUUGCGUGGAGCGGAGUUUGGGACUUUUACUUUGAGGAAAUUAGAGUGUUCACGGCAGGCAAUCGCCUUGAAUAUAUUAGCAUGGAAUAAUAAUAUAGGAUCUUGGUUCUAUUUUGUUGGUUUCUAGAGCUAGGAUAAUGAUUAAUAGGGACAAUUGGGGGCAUUCGUAUUAUCGCGUCAGAGGUGGAAUUCUUGGAUUGCGAUACGACGAACUACUGCGAAAGCAUUUGCCAAGGAUGUUUUCA